rnacentral:rRNA from 1 species
ACUCCUACGGGAGGCAGCAGUGGGGAAUAUUGCACAAUGGGCGCAAGCCUGAUGCAGCCAUGCCGCGUGUAUGAAGAAGGCCUUCGGGUUGUAAAGUACUUUCAGCAGUGAGGAAGGUGGAUAUGUUAAUAGCAUAUUCAUUUGACGUUUAGCUGCAGAAGAAGCACCGGCUAACUCCGUGCCAGCAGCCGCGGUAAUACGGAGGGUGCGAGCGUUAAUCGGAAUUACUGGGCGUAAAGCGCAUGCAGGUGGUUUGUUAAGUCAGAUGUGAAAGCCCGGGGCUCAACCUCGGAAUUGCAUUUGAAACUGGCAAACUAGAGUACUGUAGAGGGGGGUAGAAUUUCAGGUGUAGCGGUGAAAUGCGUAGAGAUCUGAAGGAAUACCGGUGGCGAAGGCGGCCCCCUGGACAGAUACUGACACUCAGAUGCGAAAGCGUGGGGAGCAAACAGGAUUAGAUACCCUGGUAGCUCUGC